AUGGUUGAUGGCAGCUCUCUUUAUCCCUGUUACCCUUAUCCUUCUCUAUGGCCUCAUGUUCCUGGUGGCCGGAAUCUUCCUGCUCACCGUGAUCCGAAACCUACGGGUAGAGGAGAUACGAGGGUGGGGGUGACUUGUGGCUGGGGGACUCAUGGCUGGGUGAGUCGGGGUCAACUAUGUGGGACCCCUCAGGAGCGUAACUGUGCCAUGUCCAUGUGCCUACAGGCUGGCAGACGACGCUUGCGGUGGAGGAGAUGGUGGAGGCGAGCAGUGGCACCAGAACCAGGUGCUGAGAGACAGGCAGCCAAACACAGCAGCUCCCAGUGCAAGCCAUGGUGCCCCUGCAGUAAGGCCAACCAGGAGCUCCAGCAGCUGGUCCUGUCAGGGCUGCCUGGGCACAGGUCUGUGCUGGACCCUGACUUCUGGCAGGCGGCCUGGAGGGACCUGGAGGAACUGGUGAAGCAGAACAGCCUGUCGUGCCACUGUUGCAGCUCCUCUGAGGGCCAGGCUGAGGCCCAGGGGCAUCCCAGGAAGAGACAGCAGCACUACCAGGGCCAGCCCAAGGAGUCAGCAAAGAUUCCUUUGCCUCUGUGCUCGGCACCUAAGGAGACAGAACGUCCAAUGGCUAGAGCAGCACUUCCUGGCCCAGCCGAAGCAGCACGGCUAAAGGACAACAGCAGUCAAAUGGGCGCCUCAGAUCUGCGUGUGGCUGACAUUAAAGCUAUCAGCAGGCAGCACCACAGGGCAGUGCCUGACAACAUCUCAAAACUGCAGCUCAGUCAGGUGACUUGUGGGAAGCUUUCCAUGCACACAGACAGAAAAUGCCUGGAGCUAAAGUUUCAACUCCUCCGUACUUCAGCGCGGAGGCCCACAGAACUGCUGCAAAAUUUACAGCCAACACAGGCUGAGCCAGUCUCCGCACCCAAGAGGAUGUGCCUCCUCCAUCCUGACCAGGACAGGAGACAGCAGCGUGGGGCCAAGGCACCGGGAUCCCGCCUGGUCCCCAUGUACUUCUACAGCUGUGAGGCUCGGUUCCUGACUGAGGAGGAGCGUGAGACCCUGGAGCUGCACAUCCGCUCCAUGAAGCUGAAGCACCUUGGCAACAGCCUCAUUUCAGGCCAUCCGCUGCAGUCAGCAGCGUCCUGGGAGAAGGAGUCCACCAGCACAUACGUGACUGCACCAUCUGAGGCAAGCUGGGCUGAGGCAGGCCCCAAAGGACACAAAUGGUGGUCCUGGUGGAAGAAGUGACCUAGGAGAGCAACUGGAGCACCAAAGCAGAAUGCAGCAGUUCUCCACCUGACAGUGUAACAUUCUGUGAAGCACAACAGAAUACCACCACCUGACGCAGCUCAUCAUUAUAGCCCUGCAGUGACCUUGGCUGUGGCUCCAAGAAAUCGUGCCACUCGCACCAUGCCCGGGAUGCUGCAGCCAUACCAACUGACAAGAAGGUCUACGUAGCCUGGGCAAAGAUGUGCUCGAUGCCCUAAAUGCCAAGGACCUCUGACUCUAAGCCCAUCCAUCUUGCCUGUAAGGAGAGGAAGGGCCAGGUUCAGCAGCACCCCUUCUCUUCAAAAAAAUCUUUAUUUUUUAAAAUAAAUAAGUUUAUUUAUUUGUGCCA
ensembl:lncRNA